rnacentral:rRNA from 1 species
UACGUAGGGGGGCAAGCGUUGUCCGGAAUCAUUGGGCGUAAAGAGCGUGUAGGCGGCUUGGCAAGUCUGACGUGAAAGCCCGCGGCUCAACCGCGGAUUGUCGUUGGAAACUGCCUCGCUAGAGUCCGGAAGAGGAGAGCGGAAUUCCUGGUGUAGCGGUGGAAUGCGCAGAUAUCAGGAAGAACACCCGUGGCGAAGGCGGCUCUCUGGGACGGUACUGACGCUGAGACGCGAAAGCGUGGGGAGCAAACAGG